rnacentral:rRNA from 1 species
UACGUAGGGGGCGAGCGUUGUCCGGAUUUAUUGGGCGUAAAGAGCGUGUAGGCGGCCAGGUAGGUCCGUUGUGAAAACUCGAGGCUCAACCUCGAGACGUCGAUGGAAACCAUCUGGCUAGAGUCCGGAAGAGGAGAGUGGAAUUCCUGGUGUAGCGGUGAAAUGCGUAGAUAUCAGGAAGAACACCUAUGGCGAAGGCAGCUCUCUGGGACGGUACUGACGCUGAGACGCGAAAGCGUGGGGAGCGAACAGG